GGGGAUGUAGCUCAUUGGUAGGGCGCUCGCUUUGCAUGUGAGAGGCCCUGAGUUCGGUCCCCACAAUCUCUA
rnacentral:tRNA from 1 species